rnacentral:pre_miRNA from 1 species
UCUUAGGGAUGAACAAAGAAAGGUGGUUUCUUGGGGUAGAAUCUACUCCUGGUGAAGAUGUUGUGAA